UUGGCUGAAAUAAUGUUGUUAACAUAGCAAGACUCAAAGGUGGUGCCUUGUGUCACGGGAUGAGCGAGCAGCGCAGCAAGGCCGAAGAGAAACACACAUUUAGCCACUCAAAACACACCCGUGCGGCCCAGGAUCCCUUAGGAUCUCAGUCAGCCUUCUCCCACUUCAUGAUAUUCAUGACUAUCACAACUCCUCGAGAGGUUCAC
rnacentral:lncRNA from 1 species